AUUGAACGCUGGCGGCAUGCUUUACACAUGCAAGUCGAACGGUAACAGCACUUCGGUGGCUGACGAGUGGCGAGCGGGUGAGUAAUACAUCGGAACGUGCCUAGUAGUGGGGGAUAACUACUCGAAAGAGUAGCUAAUACCGCAUGAGAUCUAAGGAUGAAAGCAGGGGACCUUCGGGCCUUGCGCUACUAGAGCGGCUGAUGGCAGAUUAGGUAGUUGGUGGGAUAAAAGCUUACCAAGCCGACGAUCUGUAGCUGGUCUGAGAGGACGACCAGCCACACUGGGACUGAGACACGGCCCAGACUCCUACGGGAGGCAGCAGUGGGGAAUUUUGGACAAUGGGCGCAAGCCUGAUCCAGCAAUGCCGCGUGCAGGAUGAAGGCCUUCGGGUUUUAAACUGCUUUUGUACGGAACGAAAAGCCCUCUUCUAAUACAGGAGGGUCAUGACGGUACCGUAAGAAUAAGCACCGGCUAACUACGUG
rnacentral:rRNA from 1 species